rnacentral:rRNA from 1 species
GACGAACGCUGGCGGCGUGCUUAACACAUGCAAGUCGAACGGUGAAGGGAUCAGCUUGCUGGUCCUGGAUGAGUGGCGAACGGGUUAGUAACACGUGAGUAACCUGCCCGCUUCUUAUGGAUAACCGCCUGAAAUUGUGGCUCAUACGGUAUAUUCUGCGCCUGCGGCAUGGUGGUGGUGGGAAAGAUAUUGUUUCGGUGGGGGAUGGGCUCGCGGCCUAUCAGCUUGUUGGUGGGGUGAUGGCCUACCAAGGCGGUGACGGGUAGCCGGCCUGAGAGGGUGGACGGUUAGAAUUGGACUGAGACCCGGCCCAGAAUGGUACGGGAGGCAGCAGUAGGGAAUACUGCGCGAUGGGCGCAAGCCUGAUGAAGCGACGCCGAGUGAGGGAUGGAGGCCUUCGGGUUGUGAACCUCUUUCGCAAGAGAAGCAGGCUUGUCCCUUGUGGGUGGGUUGACGGUAGCUUGAUAAGAAGCGCCGGCUAACUACGUG